GCUUAGUCCUUAAGAACAGUGCAACAAGUGAACACAUACCUACUUAUGCCUGACUCGUCAAAUUAAUCGCGUUGAAAAUUCGUACUACACAGUUAGCAAUUGAAACGAGUGCAUGGCGAGUUUUCUUUUUUGAAAAAUAUCGAAUAUCGCACGAUUAGGCGGAAAAUGAUUGAUUCGUCGUUUACCAGCAACCUUUUCAUAUGCGUAAUCAAGUUUAUAAUACAACGGAAACCUGAAGAAAAGUGCACGCGUGUGGGGUUAAGGAGUAAUAAGAUUAAUGUAGAUCGGAUGUAAAAGAGCCGAACAAGUGAAUUCGUUAUCUUAUUUAUGGUGAUAAGUUUUUUUUUCCCUUGUCUCGGUGUUUUACUUUGGUGGGAAAUUUUCGAACAGGCUGCGACGACGAGAGUGAGCUUAAAGAGCAAAGAGAAUGUUGCGAGCAUAGUUGGAGAGUGUUGGAUAAGUGCGACAGCAGUUUAUGGGAGGAAACUGUUGCUUUUGCUGCGGACAGAGUGUUACGACUGUGUUGCCUGCAAUACAGCUGUAAAAGGCAAACUUGUGGGGCGGUAAAUGGGUAAAAGAAUAUAAGGUAAGAGAUACGAUGGCAGAGUGAUACAAAAAAUAUACACACAGCAGCGCACCUCCCGAGAGACGACGCAAGUGAAGGAGAGAAUCUAAACGAUAAGAAACGAUAUUACAGACCAGUCAGACGUUGAAUGGAGCAGAAAGGCGCCGUCAAUGGAGAACGUGGAGACGGGCCCGGAGAAGUGUGAAUCAAAUAAAUGAUCAAAUGAGAAGAAAAGUAUAAGUUGAGAAAAAGAUAAAAUUGUCGGCUCAGUUGUAUCCGAGAAGUCUACUGCAGCACAACACAGAGAAGCCCUUAGGCACACAGUGCUAACCAAAGUGCAAUAAACAUCACUUAACAAGGAAAGGAGGAAAAACAGAACAUACACAACGUGGUUAGGAAGCAGUGAUCAUCUACCGCCACAAAGUAUACAUAAUCAACAUCAGAAGUUUAAUUGCAGUUUGCUUUUAAAACAAUACAGAGCGAGCACACUACAAUCGUGCACAAUUGAUAAAUAUCCUUUCGCGCUUAUUGAUGAAACAAGUACUUAAAAGCGACAGUUUUUAAACCAAUAAAAUUAGCUUAAACGAUCGGUCUUCGCUUAUUUUGAUGCAAUCGUUUCAAGGCUCACUGCAAAAGUAUAGAUCGCGGUUUUUUCUCUGUUGACUCGACUGAUUUGCGACCGUGUGCUGCGAGAAUUACCAAGAGUAUAUAGAAAGUGUAUCCGGCGCAUAGUAAUAACGUGCUGGAGGCGAGAAGGAUAAUAAAGAAUUAAAUUUAUCGGUUUGAACUCGUGCGUGCAUUGGAGGGAAAAGAAGUUUCCUUCAGGAAAAAAAUUGGAAGCACAUCGUUUAUCAAGCACACAAGCAGGAAAGACGUAAGUGACGGAAACAAUUUAGUGCACCCGGAGAUCCAGAAAAAAAUCUGUAACAUACGGUCGCAGCCGUGUGGAUCGCAUACAGCGAAUUGUGAGAAGUGGCGGUUCUCUCAAUUAUCUUACGUCUUUGUUGCUACGACGGUCAUCCAAGAUGACUGUAAUCAAGUUAAGCAAUUUUAUUGUUUCACGUGAGGCAUAAGGCUUGUACUAGAAGUGCAAAAGUUUUAUGAACAUUCAAGUAAAAAACAGUAACCGAAGAGAAGUGCGUUGAAAACUCCCCAAGCGAGACAGAACGAAAACUAGCAAUUUAGAACCGUUAAAAGGUCAUCAAGAUCGUGUGUUCCGGCAAGGCAGUCCAUCGAACGGCCAAACCACUUAAAGAGUUUCUAUUCUAAAAGCUGUUCCUCUACGAAGACGAUACAGAGCCGUUUUUCUUCUCUGGAGUAAAGCUCGGAUAACCGAUUGACUGAUUCAAAUAUGUGUUCCCGCAACUUAGCGCUUUCGUUGGCAUUGAUAAUCGCACUGGUACCACUGGCGGCCGUAGCGUUACCUCCUCACAGUGUUGCCAAGCGAAGCUCCUUUUUCGACAUUGAGUGCAAGGGACAGUUCAACAAAGCGAUCUUCUACCGGCUGGAUCGGAUAUGCGAAGAUUGCUACUCGUUGUUCCGCGAGCCACAGAUUCUGUCCUUCUGCAAAAAAUCGUGCUUCACGACAGAUUACUUCCGUGGGUGCUUAGACGCGCUACAGCUGACGGACGAGAUCGAAACGCUAAAGCCCUUCAUCAAGGUACUGAACGGUGCAGAUCCAAAUACGUUAUAAGUCAAACCGGGAUCGGAGGUUAUCACAUCGUCGUCGUUGAUAGCAGCAGCGGAGGCAGCUUUAUUAAAAUGCAAAGAAGUGAUCUAUUUCUCUAGGAAGAACCAAUCCACCCCAACCACGUGGUGGUUAGAGCUAGCAGGAUAAUACGCGCAACAGUGCUUAACAACAACACAGUAUCUAAAAUUACAAGCAGAAGAAAUCCAUGGUCUUGGAGCAUGGUCUUCGAUUUACUACUAGCAUUGACUAAAUAAGGGAAAACUUGAGUGCCAAUCUGAUAAGGAGACAUCGAAACCAAUAUCUUCUUUCAUCACGCGACACAAUCACCACAAACGACGCUAGGGUCCAGUCGUCGAUUUUUGUGCAAUUUUAUUCGUUUAGUUACGUUUUUAUGUUUUGUUCAUUUGUUAACUGGAGAAUGAAAACAAAUCGAAAGUAUUAGCUGAGAGACGAACCGUUAGAGGAGAUCUUGAAGUUAUCAGCACCAUAAUCAUCAUCGUCACCACUUGCAAGCGGAUCAACAAAUCAACGCAACCGGAAGGAUUCAGUUUAUUUUACUUUUCGUACACUUUUUCGUUGAGUAUUUCAAUGAGAGGGCUGCUUCGGAUCGGAAUACUUCCUGGCAUGCGUGGAAGCGUUGGUUCUGGAUGAGGAGACGGAAAAAUUCAUGAAAUGGCGUGAAAUGUUAGGGAAGAAGUAAUUCUGUCUUGUCCUAACUUCAUAACCAGCAGCUGUAUUUUAGUUUAAUGAACGAUCAUGCUGAUUUUAAAUGCUAAUGUAGAACAGUGACUGUAUGUAAUAUGUUUUUAGUAUGAUUUGCUUUUUCUACAGAAACUGACUGCCUCUUGUAUGUACAGGAAGCAAACAAGUUAACAGCAGUUAAUAGAUAGGUUGAAAGCAAACUUAUACAGAGCAGCGACUGAACAAGAAAGAUAGAAGGAGAUGCCGAUGUGUACAUAAUUAACUGAUAAAUGAAUAUUUAUUUAUAAAAUUAAUGUUAACAAUGAUCAAUACUAACUUAGAGAGUGCAAACUAGAAAGGAAUAGAGAGCGUGAGACGGGAUGAUGAACAUUUCUAGACAGCGUUAGGGAUUGUAGAUACCUAAUCGAUUGCAAAGUUGUAAUUAGUAAAACAAUUAUACAAGCAUCCGUAAUCCCAUUGCUUGAUGGAAAGGACGGUAAAUGUGUAUCAAUCGAAAGUGCUUGUAGUUGGGGGAAGGUAACAAGGCCACAUUUUCGGAUGGCGGUUUCGUUGCAUUCCCCUGACCGAAUGUAGGCGAUUUGAUGUGUAUGAAAUCGAAAUUUAUUUCAAGGAUAGGAGAUUGUUAGAGCGAGCGAACGAACGAGCAUUGUUUAUUUUGUUCAGUAAAACCAUAUCUCCACUGACAUGCAAAAAAUUAGAGUAACAUGGAAAUAUCUUACGCUAAUGUAUUUAUAUUUUCAAAAAAUAUAUCUUCUUAAAAUCUAGUCCAGAAAGCGCACAUUUAUGUUUAGUUAUUUAUGAUGAAAAAGCAGUAAGGCAACUCGAACGAUCAAAAUAAGUUAAGGAGAAGUUUCUGUAUUUUCACCCUUGUUAGCAGCCUUAGUUGUUAUGGCUUAAAAAGAAUGAUGAAAUCAUUUUCACUCUCUUCCUUUUGUUUUUAACCUAAAUUUUCGCUUCUUGGCUUGUAGUUAAGCUUCGAUAGUUUGAACUUUUAUUCUACAACUUUUCCAAUGCUCGCAAUGCAUAUUCUGGUAUAAUCUGAGCGUUACAGGAAUAUCAUCAACACCUUAUUUUAAAGAAACGCCAUGCUCGAGGCGAGAGUUUUACGUUUCUCGUAUUCGGAAAAUGUCAAGGAAAGUGUAUAUUUUUAACAUUCCUUAUCAGACAGUAUUGACUCUCUCCCAAAAUAGUCUAUCAAUUAUUAAAAAUAGAUAAAAAAAAUAAUAACACAUACAUCUCAACGUCAAAAACUUCGUACUGAAGUUGAGUAUUUGUCAUUCGUUUCAGAUUAAAAUAAAAAUAAUAAAAAAUCCAAAAGUUCCACAUCAAUACGAGCAUCACUUGUUAAUUUCAACUCAAAUCAGUAACUAAUGGAGAGAGUGCGACCAAGAAAACUGUCACUGUUUUCUGCUUCAACUAUAAUCGGAUGAUAGAUUCUGUAAAACAUGUCAUAAUCUAUGUUCUCUGAUGCGGUAUCCUUUCAUUAUUUUUUAUUUAAAUCAGUUCAACGUCCUAUCACUUUAUUCCUAGAAACCUAUCGAACGAAGCAACGCGAACAAGCAAAACCCAAUUCACGGAAACUAAUCGAUUUAUAGCGAUAGUUUUGAGGAACGAUCUGAAACACUCACCAGUUGAUAGAUUUAAAGUAUAAGAAAUAUUUGUAACACAUUCGUUGAUUGCCAUUUUUUAACAUAAAAUAUUUUAUUAUUUGUACAUGACUAAAACUUUAAUAAAACACAAUAUCCUGAAGCUAAUUGUAAGUUGUCCUAUUUAUAAUUCUUGUUGCUGGGAGGAAUGCUGUUCUUGAGAUUUUAGCCUCAGAAGGAAACGAGUCUCAAGCAGAUCUGUGCAAAAAAUAAAACCUUUUUGUAAACAAAGUGAACAAACAAUAUUGAUAUUAUUCAUAUAUUUUAACGAAAAUACGGGGAAACAAUAAAAAAGAAAUAUCAAUGAGCAUGAAACAA